CACCGCCUGGGGAGUACGACCGCAAGGUUAAAACUCAAAUGAAUUGACGGGGACCCGCACAAGUAGUGGAGCAUGUGGUUUAAUUCGAAGAUACGCGCAGAACCUUACCAACACUUGACAUGUUCGUCGCGACUUUAAGAGAUUAAAGUUUUCGGUUCGGCCGGACGAAACACAGGUGCUGCAUGGCUGUCGUCAGCUCGUGUCGUGAGAUGUUGGGUUAAGUCCCGCAACGAGCGCAACCCUCACUUUUAGUUGCCAUCAUUUAGUUGGGCACUCUGAAAGAACUGCCAGUGAUAAGCUGGAGGAAGGUGGGGAUGACGUCAAGUCCUCAUGGCCCUUACGUGUUGGGCUACACACGUGCUACAAUGGUAUCUACAACAGGAAGCAAAACCGCGAGGUUAAGCAAAUCCUUAAAAGAUACCUCAGUUCGGAUUGCACUCUGCAACUCGAGUGCAUGAAGCUGGAAUUACUAGUAAUCGUGGAUCAGCGUGCCACGGUGAAUGCGUUCCCGGGUCUUGUACACACCGCCCGUCACACCAUGGGAGUUGGUUCUACCUUAAGGCAAGGUUUCAAACCCUUGACCACGGUAUAGUCAGCGACUGGGGUGAAGUCGUAACAAGGUAGCCGUAGGGGAACCUGCGGCUGGAUUACCUCCUUUCUAAGGAUGAAUAAAAGUAAAAUUUUAUUCUAAAUAAUAUACAGGUAAUGUUGACCGUCCUCAUUUCUCUUCUUAAAGUAGUGUUUCUCUUGCAUGGGGGCCGGUAGCUCAGUUGGUUAGAGCACACCCUUGAUAAGGGUGGGGUCGAAAGUUCGAGUCUUUCUCGGCCCACCAAUUUAAGAUCAUGGGGGAUUAGCUCAGCUGGGAGAGCGCCUGAUUUGCAUUCAGGAGGUCAGCGGUUCGAUCCCGCUAUCCUCCACCAAAACACUUAGUUAUAAAAAAUCGUAAAAAAUUAAUAAUUAAUAUCAAUAUCUAUAUCCGAACAUUAGUAAUGUUAUUAGCUAAUGUUCAAAAUAAAAAUUUGAUUCAACACAGAAUUUUUUUCUG
rnacentral:sRNA from 1 species